AUGACUACGACUUCUGCUCUUGCUUUUUUCCCUCUUUUUGGUACGUUCUUCAUGGCCGUUAGCACUGCUCAACUUGUUCUCAUCCUUCUUGUAAGGAGCCUCAAGCAUUGCUUCAAAUCGUCUGCCAUUUUCUCUAAACGACUGUGCGGGCUUUCCAGGUCCCUGCGGUGCUCGUAUUCAGAAAGAGGGGGUCUGUGGCUGCCGCUGCUGUUGCUGCUGUUAAGCCACUAGGCCCAGGCUGUGGUACCACCCAGCCCGAAUUUUGGGCUCAGAGAGUGGACAGGCCCAAGCGAAUCUAAAAGAGACAAUGGGAUUAGAGGAACCCGCGUGGGAGUUCAGGACAGCGGCUUUGGCAGCUCAGGAUCCACCCCUCUGUUCUAACAUUUAUAAUUUUCCAUUUCACAUUAUGUUGACCUAAGUGCCAACUGAAAUUGAACAUCCUACUUUGAUUAAAGUCAGAAAAUUCUAAGUAAUAAUGAAUAAGCUUCAAGUUUAGUUUGAAUUAGUUCCAGGGAUGCCUAAGGGUAACACAGGGAGGGAUACUCCAAUUUUUUUCCAUCAGUCAUUUUUGUAAACUUUCAUCA
rnacentral:lncRNA from 1 species